AACCCAUGAAUAAGACACUUCCACAACAAUUCCUUGAAUCUUUCUUAUGCUUCAUACAAUCUUCCAUCCUGUAUUUUCUUGAAUAAAGUUAUAUCAUUUUGAAGUU